rnacentral:misc_RNA from 1 species
GUGGGUGAACCUGCGGAAGGAUCAUUAAAACUAAAUUUUUUCUGUCCAAAAAUCUAAAAAUCUUUUGGUAUGGAUAAAAUCCAAAAUCCUUAUCCACAUCGUGUGAAUUGACUGAUUGUGAGCUUUGGCAGGCAGCGUCUGGUCGUUUUGGUAGGAUUAGCGUUCUAAAACAAAAAAUGCCAGCGAGAUCUUCUCAUCUCUCUUUUGCGGGGGAGAGAGGGGAGGAUCUCGGCCUGCCAAAGUGGGAAACAUUUUUUAAACCCACGUCUCAAACUCUCCCAAAACAAAAAGGGGGUUCAUUUUGGUUGGUCUGAAAACAAAUAAUCGUCAUAACAACUUUCAACAACGAAUCUCUUGGCUCUC